rnacentral:rRNA from 1 species
AGCCUAAAGCAAGUAUUUUAGGUGAUACCUGCCCAGUGCUAACUUAUACCUGUAAACGGCCGCAGUACCUUGACUGUGCUAAGGUAGCAUAAUAAUUUGGCUUUUAAAUGGAGUCGGGAAUGAAUGGGAUAAUGGGGCUAAGCUGUCUCUACUAUAUUUAAUUUAAGUUACUUAUUAGGUGAAAAUGCCUAAGUUUAAGAAAAAAGACGAGAAGACCCUUGGAGUUUUUAUUAAAAAAAUUUAGCAUAAAUAAUUUUUAGGUUUUCGUUGGGGCAACAAGGGAAGAUUUUUAACCUCCUUUUUCAAUUAGCCGACUAGAGUAUGUGAGUUUAAACUACCCUAGGGAUAACAGCGUAAUUCUAUAAUUGAGUUUGCGACCUCGAUGUUGGACUAGGAAUUGGGCAGGCUAGCCGCCUGUUUUUAUUGUUCUGUUCGAACUUAAUUUCC